rnacentral:rRNA from 1 species
CUAUGUGCGGAAGGGAUAAGUGCUGAAAGCAUCUAAGCAUGAAGCCCCCCUCAAGAUGAGAUUUCCCAUAGCGUAAGCUAGUAAGAUCCCUGAAAGAUGAUCAGGUUGAUAGGUUCGAGGUGGAAGCAUGGUGACAUGUGGAGCUGACGAAUACUAAUAGAUCGAGGACUUAACCAU